UGUCUUGCCAGCUUGCCGACCAACGGGCAUUUUGGUCAUUUCACGUUAAAAAUUGCAAUAAGUGUUAAACCCUUACAAUAGUUGUUGCUCCUCUAACUCUGAACAGAGUUUUAUGAUAUGUAUAAUGUUUUUGCUAAAUUCUGUAAGAACAUGAAGUUGGACCACAAUCGUUUCUAUUUUUCAUUACUUCGUUCAGCUUCUUUCUCAUCUCAAAUGACUGUUGAAUUUGUCACCAUUCUUUUGUUUUGAGAUAUCAGAUUUUAAGAUCGGUGAAGAUUUCUCCUUCAAGAUUCUACUUUUUUAUUCUAGAUCAACUGAACAACUAAUGUAAAGGUAAUUUCCUGUGAAGAUUCUGUUAGUGUGUUACGGAUAAGGCGGCACAAUGGAUAUUUUAUCUUUCCGUUUCUUCUGUUCUUCUGACAGUUGUUGCUCCAUGUAUUAGUUAUGGUUUCAGAUCAAUGCUGCAGUCUCACUCGGUAGUGACAUCCAUCAAUAGGAACUAAAUAGAAUGAACUAGCAAAGAUGGUAUGUUGGUUAUUCAAAUUUUGUUGUUGCCGCAACG